rnacentral:misc_RNA from 1 species
GAUGAAGAACGUAGCGAAAUGCGAUAAGUAGUGUGAAUUGCAGAAUUCAGUGAAUCAUCGAAUCUUUGAACGCACAUUGCGCCCUUUGGUAUUCCUUAGGGCAUGCCUGUUCGAGCGUCAUUUAAACCUUCAAGCUCAGCUUGGUGUUGGGUGACUGUCCGCUUCACCGCGGACUCGCCUCAAAAUUAUUGGCGGCCGGUACAUUGGCUCCGAGCGCAGCAGAAACGCGAACUCGGGCCCGUCGUAUUGGCUCCCAGAAGCUAUCUUCACAAUUUUGACCUCGGAUCAGGUAGGGAUACCCGCUGAACUUAAGCAUAUCAAUAAGCGGAGGA